CUAGUACAAAAUAUUGAGAUAUUAAAGUAGUUUAGGUCAUGCUUCCAAGAAAAGCUCGCAAUGUCAUAGAUAAAAAAUGCCUGUACCAUAACCGACACAGGUGGGUAAGUAGAGUAUACUAAGGGGCGCGAGAUAACUCUCUCUAAGGAACUCGGCAAAAUAACUCCGUAACUUCGGGAGAAGGAGUACCUUAUUAAAUAAGGUUGCAAUAACAAGAUCCAAGCAACUGUUUAUCAAAAACACAGGUCUCCGCUAAGUCGUAAGACGAUGUAUGGGGGCUGACGCCUGCCCAGUGCCAGAAGGUUAAAGAAGUUAGUUAGUCUACAGAUAAAGCUGAUAACUGAAGCCCUGGUGAACGGCGGCCGUAACGAUAACGGUCCUAAGGUAGCGAAAUUCCUUGUCGGGUAAGUUCCGACCCGCACGAAAGGCGUAAUGAUUUGGAUACUGUCUCAGAGAGGGGCUCGGUGAAAUAGACUUGUCUGUGAAGAUGCGGACUACCUGCACCUGGACAGAAAGACCCUAUGAAGCUUUACUGUAGCUUGAAAUUGAAAUUGGACUUUAUAUGCGCAGGAUAGGUGGGAGGCGUUUGAAAAUAUACUUACGGGAAUAUUGGAGCCAUCAGUGAGAUACCACUCUUAUAAUGUUAGAUUUCUAACUUUUAUCCUAAUCGGGUUAAAGGACAGUUUCAAGUGGGCAGUUUGACUGGGGCGGUCGCCUCCUAAAUGGUAACGGAGGCGCACAAAGGUUUCCUCUGAACUGGUAGAAAUCGUAUCUAGAGUGUAAAGGCAAAAGGGAGCUUGACUGUGAGACUCACAAGUCGAGCAGGGACGAAAGUCGGUCUUGGUGAUCUGACGGUGCUGAGUGGAAAGGCCGUCACUCAACGGAUAAAAGUUACUCUAGGAUAACAGGCUGAUCUCCCCCAAGAGUUCACAUCGACGGGGAGGUUUGGCACCUUGAUGUCGGCUCAUCGCAUCCUGGGGCGGUAGUACGUCCCAAGGGUUGGGCUGUUCGCCCAUGAAAGCGGUACGCGAGCUGGGUUCAGAACGUCGUGAGACAGUUCGGUCCAUAUCCGGUGUAGGCGUUAGAAUAUUGAGAGGAGCCUUUUUUUAGUACGAGAGGACCAAGAAGGACAUACCGCUGGUGUACCAGUUAUCAUGCCAAUGGUAAACGCUGGGUAGCUAUGUAUGGAGAGGAUAACCGCUGAAAGCAUCUAAGUGGGAAGCCCACCUCAAGAUGAG
rnacentral:rRNA from 1 species